rnacentral:misc_RNA from 1 species
GGAAGAUUGAAAGGGCAACGAUGAGUAGUGAGUUAUCUUUCUUCCUUUCAACAUUUUGGCCUCCAUUUACAAGUAAUGUGAGAUGUUCAUAUUUGCUCUCGAGUAUGGAGGCAACAGAACAUUUUCAUGGCAUGGAGAAAUUGGUUAAGCUCGCUCUCUAUUUUUAAUCAUUUGAUACAUACUAUUGAUAAGGACAAAAUGAUCAAGAAAAUUUAGCCAGCUUGUUCAACUUCUCUUUCCAAAAUAAAAAAAGAAAUCUUGAAGCUGAACUUUUGUUCUAGCCAUAUAUAGGAGAAAACUAACUUCAUUCUUUGUGGAAAACUGGACAAGGCAGUUCCCCCUCUCCAUUUUCAAUUUGAAUUUAUGAGUAAGCUAAUCGAUUCAGAAGAAUCAAGUAACAUAGAUGAUGACCAUGUUUCAUCUGUAUUUUCUCCCGUCUUUAUUGGUGUUUCUUCUGGAUAUAUAGUAGGUUUGGGAGGUAUCUCUAGACUUCCCAAAUCUCCUUCAAGCAUCUCUACAAC